rnacentral:rRNA from 1 species
GCAAGUCGAACGAGAACGAUAUCUUCGGGUAUUUAGUAAAGUGGCGCACGGGUGAGUAACACGUGGGUAACCUACCCCUCGGCGGGGGAUAACCAUCCGAAAGGAUGGCUAAUACCGCAUACGGUCAUCUUCUCCUUGGGGAAGAUGAGGAAAGUGGCGCAAGUCACACCGGGGGAUGGGCCCGCGCACCAUUAGCUAGUAGGUGGGGUAAUGGCCUACCUAGGCAUCGAUGGUUAGCUGAUCUGAGAGGAUGAUC